GCUGCUGUGGAUCAUGGUUGAUCAUCCUCACUUAAUGCAUCAAUUGGAAGGUUGUCAGGACUUUGUGAGGAAGAUGUGGGUUCGACUCCCACCAGCAGCU